UACGGGGGGGGCAAGCGUUGUUCGGAAUUACUGGGCGUAAAGGGCUCGUAGGCGGCCAACUAAGUCAGACGUGAAAUCCCUCGGCUUAACCGGGGAACUGCAUCUGAUACUGGAUGGCUUGAGUUCGGGAGAGGGAUGCGGAAUUCCAGGUGUAGCGGUGAAAUGCGCAGAUAUCAGGAGGAACACCGGUGGCGAAGGCGGCUUGCUGGGCCUUACCUGACGCUGAGGAGCGAAAGCGUGGGGAGCGAACAGG
rnacentral:rRNA from 1 species